GACGGCAGUAGUCAGUGCUAAGACCUUCAGAAUGAAAGUGGUUUGAAGUACAUUAGUACAGGAUUCUAUUUGAGUUCACUAGCACGCAUGGCUCAUCAGCUGAAUUGAAACUUAAUGAACUGUGAAGAUCAUUGUAUUUGUUAGUGGUAGAUUUUUCACAAUGUUGAGUGUUAAAAAUUCAAGACUGGUUGCCACGCUUGUACUGCCUGGAAUCACCUUUUUCUUCGGAAUCCUGUCUGUGGCGUUUCCUUCCCGGCAAAGAUGUCCUCUUAUGACAUCAGCAUUUUUAUGUUUUGGUGCUGGAGUGUUGUUAGCUGUGUCCAUGCUUCACAUGCUACCAGAAGCACGUGAUAGUCUGUCUGACCUAGCUGAACUAUCCUUCUGCGUUGGUUUUCUGCUCUUAUACUUCAUUGAUGAAGUGGUCCAUUUCUUUUGUGCAUACCACCUUCCUAUACAUGAAGCACGGGGUAGAACUUGUAUAUUCAAUUACUCAUCUUCAGUUCUGCCAUCUUUAUUGCAAAAUAGUUCAGUAAAACAACAGCAAAAUAUAUUAUAUGACCAGAGCAGUUUUGAAAAUAACAGUAGCACGGACAGUGAUGGUACAGUGUUUCAGUAUGGAAAUCGCCUCAACAGUAAACAUCCAAGACGAUUUUCAGGUGGAAGAAAGAGUUUUGAACCAACAGGUGGUGAAAAGGCAAAAGUUUCUAUUUACCGUCAACUGCUUAACAAAAGUGAUAAACCAUCUACAAGUUAUGGUAGCAUAAGUACCACAGAAGAUAACAAUGUUGAUGUUCAGAAAGAUACUGUUUCCAGUCUUAAAGAUGACAUAGUACAGCGAAAUUUAAUUUCGGCAGGCAGACCAGCAGACUUGAGACAACUAGAUGUAGCAAGCUCUUCUACACAUAGUGUUGUUCAGAUAUCACAACGAAGACAAGAUGCAGUGACCUCUUUUCAUCAUAAUCAAGCCCCACAAGAACAAUAUGAGACUGACUUUAAUACGCUGUGUCACAAUAAUUAUUCCCCACCAUUCGCAAAGUCAAGAGCAGGUCACAUAGGUCUGUUUAUAGCAUUGACUAUCCAUUCAAUGUUGCAAAGUGCAGCUGUUGGUCUCGAGCCAUCAGCUGAGCAGAUAUUGAUGCUGACAGGAGCAAUAGCAUGCUACAAGAUGGUUGUGGCCUUUGCCUAUGGUCUGGAGCUUAGGGAGUCUGGCAGUGGAUGUCUCAGUGUUUGUGGCCAGAUAUUUUUAUUUUCGCUUGGAUCAGUAUUAGGCAUAACUCUUAGUGGAGUUUUGGCAGAAGAUGAAAAUGUUCACAUAAUAACUGGACCUGCUGUAUCCAUUAUACAGGCAAUUUCUGCUGGAAUGCUUCUUUAUAUAACAACGUGUGAAGUAUUGCCUCGAGAACGUGCAAAAUGGUACCACCAGUUUGAACACACAGCUGCAGGAAUCUUACAGCUCACAUCAGUUACAGCUGGUUUCUGCAUUAUAUAUGCCCUUAAUACUUUCAGAAGUAAGUUAUUUAUGGAAGACUGAGUGCUUCUUCAUCUGAUAGUGUUUUAAGCCGAUGAUGCAUUUGUUUUAUGCAAUGUAUUUGUUCCGCCUGAAACGAUCUCUUGAAGUAUGGUGCGUCAGUGCAACAAAGGUUUAAGAUGUGUUGGUAACCACCCAAGACAUGGCAUCAAACCCCAGAAGACCACAAUCAGUUCCAUGGCAUCUGAUUACCAUUUCAUAUCUUGCAUUCUGCCUCACAUUCAGGAGUCCAUAGAAGUAAAUAAUGCUAUAAAUGAAAAGGACCAUGGAACAGCUAAAGAGGAAUAUAUUUAAAAAUUAGUUUCUAACAUCACAAAAUAUUCUAUAAAAAUCUGCCAUUUACCUUCGAUGUUUGUUUUUACCUGAAAUUUAUAUUUCUGUUUCAACUGAUCAUAUUCUGAAAUGUACAUAUACACAGUGACAAAAUUUCUUAAAAGUAUCUUAUGCAUAAUAAAAAUAAAUGUAUUGCCUUCUAUAAACAUUCCAACAUCUGAUUUCAACACUUAAUUAAAAUAUUAUAUUGAUUCUUUGUAACAUCACAAUAGUCUUUGAAAAUGAAAGAAUGGACAGAUAAGUCAUUUAUGUAAUAAAAUAAAAAGACUUUCAUUCUUCAGAACAGUUGUCUGUGACAAAUAUUGAGAAAAUAUGCCAACAUAGGCUUUCUACUAUAAAUAUUCAGAAUGACCAAAUUUUCAACCCAAGUUGAUUUGAUUGGAGGUCAUCAUGAGUCCAUUCAUGAUGUGGCCAUGAAUAUUGAAUUUGUGUACUAUACUAUAAUUAUCGUAACUGGCCUCAUAAUUUCUUCAGUAAAAUACAAAGUGUAAAGCAGAUUACAGCAUGGAGACAUCCUGUUAUAUCACUGAACUAUGUUGUCUGUGGCUGCUGGUGACAGUUUUAUAUAACUUUAUUUAAUGCAGUAAACAAAAUCAAGACUUGCAUGAUGGUGUCAAACUUAGUCAUUGGAUUGUGACACUGUGUGGAUGUGUUGGUAUGUGUCUAAAAGUUUACUGGUGUUGCAAUGCAGAUGACAGAAUGACAUUUUCACCAUUAUAAAAACCUCAAAUCUCAUAAGGCAGUGUUUCAUGGAAAUCAGUAUUGUAAUAUCUUUCUCUGGAGACAGA